ensembl:lncRNA LINC-PINT long intergenic non-protein coding RNA, p53 induced transcript
GUCACAUGAUGGACAUGAUAUAAUGAAACAACAUUGUGGAGAGGAAAGCAUUAGGGGAGCCCACGGCUACAAAAACAAGUGAGUGAGAAGAGGUGGGAGGAAGAGAAACUACGCCACCUCCCCUGCAGCCGAGUGCACGCAGCAGCCUGGCGUGACAAGUGGGCGACGCCGGGGGGCAGGGAGCCGGGGUCCUUGGCCCUGGCCGGGGACCCCACCGCCCACCGCGCGGAGGACAACUUUUAGCCGGCAGCCCAGACCAGCGCGGCACCUGUCUCCGGAGUCUCCACCGCUCCUCCCGAUUCAUCCCAGGGAAAUUCUCAAGAAUACGCUCUACAAAUCUACGUGCGCAUCAUUUUCACCUCGCGUCGCGCCCGGGAGGAAGGAACGAGGCAAGGAGCUAAAGCAGCGUGCGUUCAGCCCUGGGGCAUUUUAUUAAUGCUUUUACGAGUUAGAAGAGUUGGGAUAAUUUGCCAUCUGGAGUUUCUCUGCCUUGCUGAUCUGAGCUCAGACCUGCCAAUUUACCAGAGAUAAUUGAUAACACCCUGUAACAGCUGAGAGGAAAAUGGAAGAAACGGAGAUACUUUUAGUGAAGCAGAAUAAACCACUGAACAGGAAAAAUGAGGAAGCUGUGAGUACCAGUGGAAGGAACGAGCCAGGAAGAGGGACUGGAACCAUCUCAGAAGCCAUGCCCCUCAGGCUGGAACUUGCCCUGUCUCCUCGCAGAUGAGGACAAGUCCUGCGCUUGGGGAUCCUCUGUACGCCCGUUCACUGACCCAAAGAAGGACAUCCAUGUACCCCACGUUAAGAAGGCUGCCCUGGACUAAGCCCUCACUGUGACUCUGCUGUUCUUAAGCUUCCCAGGAAACACUGUUAUGUAAAAAGACGAGCCAUCCAGGUCAAAAAGAAGUCAUUGUGGUUGCUAGGUGGGGGUGCAAAGCCAAAGACAAAGGGUGGGGAAAAUACAUGACUAAUAAUAAAUAAAGAGCAUGGUUAAUACCAGAGUCUCCAAACUGAUAGCCCAGAAUCCCUCAACAUGUAGCCACGAGUAUUUGUAAAGUACGUUGUGAAUUCAGGUAGAGGGCCGAAGACUCAAUAUUAAGCAGUUGGGCAGAGUUUUCAUACAUAUAUUUGUCUCUGCCUUUUGCACAAUAUAAAACUAUGAAAUCUCUUUUCAUUUUUCUAUUGUGCACGCUACCACAUUAGGUAGGAAUCAAAAUCAUCUCAACUCCAGAAGUAUAAUUCAUAACAAUUAUAACAAAGCAGAAAAAUGAUUCUACAUUAGCAGAAGAAAUGUAGUAGGAAUAGAUUUAAAAUAGCAUGGUUGAGUACAAAAGAAACAUCGUUUUUUAAAAAAUGGCAGCCUUUAUCACUCAUCAGCUAAACUUAAAGUCAAUGCUGUGAGGCUGUUGCGGGAAAAAAAUAGUCAUGAUUCUUGGGUGUAUUAAAAGGAGUAUGACAUAGAAGGGUAAGAAAACAAGACGUAGUGUGUUUGUCAGACUCAUCAUUGUGUCCUGUUUGAGUCACACUUAAAAAAAGAAUUUGGACAAUUGUGAAAAGCUGAUACACAAGCAACAGAAAUUACACGCCCUUCCAGGAAAAGAUAAGGCAACUGAGGAUUUUAUUCCACACAAGGCUGGAGGAUUUUUUGCUAAUGGCCUUUAAGUAGUAACAGUCUGGUUUAUCCUUAUAUUCCUAGGGCCUUCCGCUCUGCCUGGUGCACAGUACUUGAGAUGAUCGUUGUGUUUAGUGAUAAUGAGUAAGGUUCCUGUGAGAGACUUAGCAGGAGUAAGUAGGUUCAAAUAAAACCAGCGAUAGUGUCAUGACAGACGGUAUAUAAUACAUGAAUUUGCUGGGUGAUUAAUACAUAAGGAUGACUGUCUCACUUGUGAGGAUGAUAUAAUACUUCAGCAGCUAACUGGGGGAAGCUACAAAAUCUUGGUUUGAUACCUCUUUCAGGAUGAAAGCAGAUAAGUCUGCUGGGGUGGUGGAAACAUUCAUUCAUUCAUUCUACAAACCCUGAGGGCCUACUUGGCUAGGUGCUCACGGUCUGG